CGCCUCCAGAAUUACUUAUUGGAGGUCCAUUCUGCCCUAUGCCCUACGGGGUAAAUGGCCGCGGUAGCCUGACCGUGCUAAGGUAGCAUAAUCAUUUGCCGUUUAAUUGAUGGCUAGAAUGAAUGAAUAUACGAGAGCUAGACUGUCUCAUUUUUACAAAUAAAAAUUGACCCUCAAGUGAAGAGACUUGAAUUAAAAAAAAAGACGAAAAGACCCUAUAGAGCUUUACCUAAAAUUUAAAUUCUUUAGAAUAAAGGUUUAGUUGGGGCAACUAGAGAGAAUCUAAAACCUCUCUUUAUUUAUUAGAUCCGCUAUCGCGAGAAGUAGAAAAAGCUACCUUAGGGAUAACAGGCUAAUCCUCUUUAAGAGACCAUAUUGACAAGAGGGAUUGGCACCUCGAUGUUGGCUCAAGGUUACAGUUUGAUGCAGCAGUCAAACAAAGUAGGUUUGUUCACCCUUUAAAUCCUU
rnacentral:rRNA from 1 species